CUACUCUGUCGUGGGGGAUAACGUAGGGAAACUUACGCUAAUACCGCAUACGACCUACGGGUGAAAGCAGGGGAUCUUCGGACCUUGCGCGAUUGAAUGAGCCGAUGUCGGAUUAGCUAGUUGGCGGGGUAAAGGCCCACCAAGGCGACGAUCCGUAGCUGGUCUGAGAGGAUGAUCAGCCACACUGGAACUGAGACACGGUCCAGACUCCUACGGGAGGCAGCAGUGGGGAAUAUUGGACAAUGGGCGCAAGCCUGAUCCAGCCAUACCGCGUGGGUGAAGAAGGCCUUCGGGUUGUAAAGCCCUUUUGUUGGGAAAGAAAUCCAGCCGGCUAAUACCCGGUUGGGAUGACGGUACCCAAAGAAUAAGCACCGGCUAACUUCGUGCCAGCAGCCGCGGUAAUACGAAGGGUGCAAGCGUUACUCGGAAUUACUGGGCGUAAAGCGUGCGUAGGUGGUCGUUUAAGUCCGUUGUGAAAGCCCUGGGCUCAACCUGGGAACUGCAGUGGAUACUGGGCGACUAGAGUGUGGUAGAGGGUAGCGGAAUUCCUGGUGUAGCAGUGAAAUGCGUAGAGAUCAGGAGGAACAUCCAUGGCGAAGGCAGCUACC
rnacentral:rRNA from 1 species